AUAUCUCUCCGUACGGGAAGGAUGAGAAGCUUUGACUAAGGUUCGAUUCGAGCGCAGCGAGAAAGCGUUACCGCAGGCAACGACCCGAAGGGUGAGGAGCGGAGCGACGAAUAAUCCUUCCCCCACCACCA
rnacentral:sRNA from 1 species